GUACACUCCUACGGGAGGCAGCAGUGGGGAAUAUUGCACAAUGGGCGCAAGCCUGAUGCAGCCAUGCCGCGUGUAUGAAGAAGGCCUUCGGGUUGUAAAGUACUUUCAGCGGGGAGGAAGGCAAUACGGUUAAUAACCGUGUUGAUUGACGUUACCCGCAGAAGAAGCACCGGCUAACUCCGUGCCAGCAGCCGCGGUAAUACGGAGGGUGCAAGCGUUAAUCGGAAUUACUGGGCGUAAAGCGCACGCAGGCGGUCUGUCAAGUCGGAUGUGAAAUCCCCGGGCUCAACCUGGGAACUGCAUUCGAAACUGGCAGGCUUGAGUCUUGUAGAGGGGGGUAGAAUUCCAGGUGUAGCGGUGAAAUGCGUAGAGAUCUGGAGGAAUACCGGUGGCGAAGGCGGCCCCCUGGACAAAGACUGACGCUCAGGUGCGAAAGCGUGGGGAGCAAACAGGAUUAGAUACCCUAGUAGUCC
rnacentral:rRNA from 1 species